GCAAUAUUUACCACCAAAUACACACACACGAGUGAAACCCUGACCUUUUGUUAGAGGGUCUUGUUAAAAUAGCUUUCCUCAGUGGUGGAGUUCAGUCUAAAUCUGUGAGGAACCACUGAUAAAGGAGCAAACAGCUGCUUUAUCCCAGAGGCAGUGUCCUCCUCCCAGACUAACAUUAAACAUAGUCUUUACCUUCCUGAAACCAGAGAGCAUCUGUGCCUCUUCCUGAAAGAGAAGUCUGGAUACAGCUGUCUGCCGAGAGGUGGGGCGUCGUCAGGGAAACCGCUUCAUUAAGGGUGUAAUUAACAUCCAUGCUAGACAAUGGAUGCCAUGGUGAUAGACUCACUUCGGGUUUUCCAAGGGAUGACGUUAUGCAGG
ensembl:lncRNA